UGAGGAAUAUUGGUCAAUGGCCGAGAGGCUGAACCAGCCAAGUCGCGUGAAGGAAGAAGGAUCUAUGGUUUGUAAACUUCUUUUAUAGGGGAAUAAAGUGGAGGACGUGUCCUUUUUUGUAUGUACCCUAUGAAUAAGCAUCGGCUAACUCCGUGCCAGCAGCCGCGGUAAUACGGAGGAUGCGAGCGUUAUCCGGAUUUAUUGGGUUUAAAGGGUGCGUAGGUGGUGAUUUAAGUCAGCGGUGAAAGUUUGAGGCUCAACCUUAAAAUUGCAGUUGAUACUGGCGUCCUUGAGUACGGUUGAGGCAGGCGGAAUUCGUGGUGUAGCGGUGAAAUGCUUAGAUAUCACGAAGAACCCCGAUUGCGAAGGCAGCCUGCUAAACCGCCACUGACGUUGAGGCUCGAAAGUGUGGGUAUCAAACAGGAUUAGAUACCCUGGUAGUCCACACGGUAAACGAUGGAUACUCGCUGUUGGCGAUAGACUGUCAGCGGCUUAGCGAAAGCGUUAAGUAUCCCACCUGGGGAGUACGCCGGCAACGGUGAAACUCAAAGGAAUUGACGGGGGCCCGCACAAGCGGAGGAACAUGUGGUUUAAUUCGAUGAUACGCGAGGAACCUUACCCGGGCUUGAAUUGCAGACGAAUUGCUUGGAAACAGGCAAGCCGCAAGGCGUCUGUGAAGGUGCUGCAUGGUUGUCGUCAGCUCGUGCCGUGAGGUGUCGGCUUAAGUGCCAUAACGAGCGCAACCCUCGUGUCCAGUUACUAGCAGGUUAUGCUGAGGACUCUGGACAGACUGCCAUCGUAAGAUGUGAGGAAGGUGGGGAUGACGUCAAAUCAGCACGGCCCUUACGUCCGGGGCUACACACGUGUUACAAUGGGGGGUACAGAGGGCCGCUACCACGCGAGUGGAUGCCAAUCCCCAAAACCUCUCUCAGUUCGGACUGGAGUCUGCAACCCGACUCCACGAAGCUGGAUUCGCUAGUAAUCGCGCAUCAGCCACGGCGCGGUGAAUACGUUCCC
rnacentral:rRNA from 1 species